rnacentral:rRNA from 1 species
UGGGGAAUAUUGCGCAAUGGGGGGAACCCUGACGCAGCCAUGCCGCGUGAAUGAAGAAGGCCUUAGGGUUGUAGAGUUCUUUCGGUAUUGAGGAAGGUUGAUGUGUUAAUAGCACAUCAAAUUGACGUUAAAUACAGAAGAAGCACCGGCUAACUCCGUGCCAGCAGCCGCGGUAAUACGGAGGGUGCGAGCGUUAAUCGGAAUAACUGGGCGUAAAGGGCACGCAGGCGGUUAUUUAAGUGAGGUGUGAAAGCCCCGGGCUUAACCUGGGAAUUGCAUUUCAGACUGGGUAACUAGAGUACUUUAGGGAGGGGUAGAAUUCCACGUGUAGCGGUGAAAUGCGUAGAGAUGUGGAGGAAUACCGAAGGCGAAGGCAGCCCCUUGGGAAUGUACUGACGCUCAUGUGCGAAAGCGUGGGGAGCAAACAGGAUUAGAUACCCUGGUAGUCCACGCUGUAAACGCUGUCGAUUUGGGGGUUGGGGUUUAACUCUGGCGCCCGUAGCUAACGUGAUAAAUCGACCGCCUGGGGAGUACGGCCGCAAGGUUA